rnacentral:rRNA from 1 species
AGCUCCAAUAGCGUAUAUUUAAGUUGUUGCAGUUAAAAAGCUCGUAGUUGGAUUUCGGUUAAGAGCGACCGGUCCGCCGUUUGGUGUGCACUGGUUGGUUUUAACUUCCUGUAGAGGACGUGCUCUGGGUUUAACGACCUGGACUCGGAGUCUACGUGGUUACUUUGAAAAAAUUAGAGUGUUCAAAGCGGGCUUACGCUUGAAUAUUUCAGCAUGGAAUAACACUAUAGGACUCCUGUCCUAUUUCGUUGGUCUCGGGACGGGAGUAAUGAUUAAGAGGAACAGUUGGGGGCAUUCGUAUUUCAUUGUCAGAGGUGAAAUUCUUGGAUUUAUGAAAGACGAACUUCUGCGAAAGCAUUUGCCAAGGAUGUUU